rnacentral:lncRNA from 1 species
AGAAAUUAUUUAUAUAAAUUAUUAUUUAAAUAUGUAUGUUUGUUUUGUCAAAAAUGUAGAUAUAUUAGAAAUUAAUUAUCUAUAAAUUUUGGCAAGCAUUAAGCUUAGAUAUAAGCAUAUAUUAAAUAUUUUAAUAUUUUCAAAAAUAUUUUAAUAUCUUCAUGCAUAAACAAAACUGUAUUGUGAAAAGAGAAGAACUGAAAAAUAGGUUAUUAACCAUGAAAUUACACAAAAUAAGAGCCAAUAAUAAUUUAUUGCAGUGGCGUAACUACAUGAGGCAGAGGAGGCCUCUGGGCCCAGCAGGUUUGAGUGCCCAAUUUUAUUUAUUUAUUUUCAUACUUUUCAUAAAUGAAUGGAAUUGUAAAGUCAUUGCUAUGAUUAUAUAAUCAUUUCCAAUAUUAUAAUAAAAAUAAUGUCUGCCUAGAUAAUCAACUGACUUGAUAAAAUUUGAGUGUAGAGCAUUUUCUAAAACAACUGGAGAUGACUCACAAGUUAUCUUAAAGUGUGAAUUUUAAUAUUUGAGCCACUAGCAUUAUUUUCAGGCAAUUUAGUAGGAAUACAAUCACAUAUAAGUAUGAGUCAUAAUCAUACCCAAAAAAUGUAUUGUUAACUGGCUUGUAGGUAAUCAUCAUAUCUAAAAUACAAAAUAAAGACACAAUAGAUACUGUUAUUGCAUCUUUAUUUUGUGAAUGUAUUGUAAAUUUAGGAAACAGAUAUUAAAAAAUACCUGUAUACAUUUGCUGACUUAAUUAUGCAAUUAAAGAUUUUUUUAAGAAAUCUGUACAAAUAUCAAAAUCAUUUUCAAAAUAAUGAUGGAAG